rnacentral:ncRNA from 1 species
GUUUCAGGGCGAGGUGAAAGUCCUCACCGGCGGUAAUCAGAGCUGAUAUCUGCGAGUCCGCGAGCCGAAAGGCAGAACCGGUUAGAUUCCGGUACCGACGGUAUAGUCCGGAUGAAAGAAA